AUGGAUCUAGGCCCAGGCCUCAGGCCGAGAGCUGGGCGCUGGCCCUCAGGAUCCUCCCUCCGCCAAGCCAAGGGUCUGCCACAAGCACUACCUGCCUGCUCCGAGGCCCUUUGGCAGGAUGCCCUCUGUUUGCGGCACUGCCACCCUCAGGGCACCGUGUGGCAUGAGGAAGCACAGGCUGCCUGGCCCAGCCCCGCCUGCGAGGACAUCUCACGAGUGCUUCUGCUAAGUCAAGAUGAACCGGAUUGGGGUUGGGCAGGUGGCAACAUGCUGCUAUUUGUGGAGGCUCCUGCCCUUCCUUCUCCCGUGAUUCCAGGAGGGCGAGGGCCGCAGCCAUCUCCACCCAGGCACAGGACUCGGGCUAUCCAGAGAGCCAGGCUAGAGCCACGGCCACAGGCUUGAAGGCCGGGCGUCUGCACAGAGAGCCCAGGAGAAGCAGCAGGCUGCAGGAGAGAGCCUGGCUCAGACGGGAGACUCCAGUGCCACCAGCCAGCCUGGCCUCUGCCUACUCCAGGGCCUCAUCUGUUCAAUAAGGGGUUGUAUUAAAAGAGAUCCUCUCUCUUCCGAACUCCUCCACUGUCAUUAGGCUGGGUUCCCCGACUCCAAACCCCUCCAUUCUCCUCUCAUUAAAGUCCAUUCUAAUUAGGGGAUUAGAAUUCACCUCUGUCUAAAUUAAAGGCUGGACAGGGAGUGAUGGCAGGCCACAGUGAACAGAAGCUGUGCAGGUGCAGACCUGGGCCGGCUGCCCUGGGGCACCUGAGAGUGGGGGAGAACAGGAGGCCCUGCCUGGCCCCACCUGCCCGACCUCCACCCCAAACUCCAUCUUGUGAGUUUGGCUCCAGAGUUCCCUCACAGAGAGGCCCUCUGUGGGUCGGGGGUCACGUAGGAUGCGUGGGUCUGAGCUCUGUACUGGGGAGCCCCUGGGUACCAGGAAACAUCCACUGGGCUUGAGGAAGAGUCCAAAGUCCUAAAACUGGCUCUGCGGCAGACAUUCACCCACCAGCACGACCUGGACAAAGAAAUCCCAAGCUCCAAGCUCCAAGCUCUGGGAGCUCUUCUCCUUAUCGUUUAGACUGGUUAAUCAUCUGUAGAGCGUGUUUUGGUUUACAGGAUAUUUUCCCCUAAGUGAUGUCAUCCGAUCCUCCUAACAACACAAUAGACGUUUCUCCAUUUCGUAGAUGAAAAAACUCAACCUCAGGGAGUGUUAGCAACUUGCUUACAGGACCCCAACUGGGAAGUAGGAAAAAACAGGCCUGCUAGGCUGGUGGUCAGAGUCCAAGUACAGCAUUCUCUUCGGAACAUGGAGUCCCUCUCUCCAGGCCCUAGGGACCCAGAAAAGCUCCACCAGGACCCAGACAGUGAGCUGAUCCCUCCCAGCAAGCCAGGCUGUGUGGUCUACAGUCAGAAGGGCCCAGAGGUCCGCUGUACUGUUGUCCUGGGCCCACGUGUGGGUCCAUAGAGAAGGAUGGCCUCUCUGUAGUGGGUCAGAAACUCAGGGCAAACCUUCCCAAGGUGUGAAAUGACUGAAUGUAUUUCCUUCUGCUAAACCCCACACUGUUUCUCCAUAGAGGGACAAAGCUGUUAGCUGUCUUCAAAUACGGUCAGCUGGGGAGACCACACAGGAAACAGAUGGGACAGUGUAAGAAAGGACCAGGCUAAGAAUGAACCCUCCCACCUCAAGAACUGCCUGGGGAUGUUAUUUUGGAGGGUGGUUAGACCCCCAUCACUGGGGGAGUUCAAGCAAAGCCUGCGUAAGCAUUUUAACCUAGGAAUGUUAUAGGGGAAAUUCAACCACUGGAUAGCUGAGUGGGAAGAAUGGGGUGAAUGAUAUUCAUACUUCUUUAUGCCAAGGGUGCAACUCAUUUGCCAAGAGCCAAUGAUCUGAAUCAGGAAUGAUUUCAGCUUCUAUUCAGACCCCUGACGCCCUUCUAUGGGGCAUGUUUAAUCAAGAUAGAGCUGUCACUGAGUGUCCCUACCUUCUGCUGUUAAUGACUGGGAUGGAGUUGAGGGAAGGAGACAAGUAGCUCUGUGUGUGUGUGUGUGUGUGUAUGUGUUAGUCCUUGGGCCACAGCAAGCCAAAAGUCUGACACAGGAAGGUAUUUCUGGAACUCCAUGCUCUGAGGGCUGACUGCUUUGAAGUCUUCACUCUCUGCCCUCCCUGAAAGGUAACUAGGGCAUUCCCAUUGAUUUGGGUGGCCAGCCAGAGAGCUGCCUGGGCCCCGUCGGCAUCUGUCCUCUUCACCACAGUAAACAAAAUGAGUUGUCAGGUGGGUGGAGGCAAGCCCUGCCUUGGCCAUGGGUUCUGAACGGCCACCUGCAUCCAGGAGGCAGUUGGCCAUCUCUCCUUUGCAGCUGGACUGGACAGACCUUGGCAUGUUAGGAGGAGUUCUCUUAGGACAUCUCAGGACCUAGAAUUUGGAACCGGGAAUUUCAGGUGCAGGAAUCUGACAGUAGCAUCCCAGCAAUGUCCUAGGGACACCCAAGCUUUCUAGGGUCCCCCAGGCAGUGAGGGGCUCCUGUCCCACUGGCGACAGGGCUCUGUGCAUACUUCUCAGAACACAAAGAGUUUUCUGUGGCUUGGACACCCCAAGCUACUAAAUUGUUGGCCACAGUGUCCUGAGGGUUAGAAAAUGGACCAGAACUUCUACCUCCAGAAAGCCUCCCAGGGCUGUGUUCGGUUGGUGAAUAGACAGUGACAUCUUCCCUUUCCCCAACUCUCUGCAAGCUCCCACCUCCUGCUUGGUUUUUAGUUUUCCUCUGAAGCAUUCACUGCCAAUCUGGGUUGCAGAAGGAGCAUGACCAGACCCCAGGCUCGGCCCAGCCUGGCCCAUGUUCUUCUAGUACUAGUAGCUGCUCCCACUCAUUCCUUCCUUCAAUAAAUGCUGGCUCAUGUGCCUGUAAACCAAAAAAGAACUCACAACUACCUCACAGAAAAGUGGGCAAAGGAUAUGAACAGGCAACUCUCAGACUUGGUGUGAUCACUUGCCGUGUAAAUUUCAGCAAAUAACUGAAACACUCUGUGCUUCAACUUUCUUAUCUAUUCUAUUGUACUGGGUUAUUGUAGAGACUGAGUGAUGUAAUCCACAUGUUGUGGGCUUAAUUGUGGAUGCUCCUGCUCCAAAUGUAUAUGUUGAAAUCCUGACCCCCAGCACCUCAGAACGUGAUAGUAUUUAGAGACAGGACCUUUAACAAGGCAAAUAUGUUAAACUGUAUUAGCGUGGGCCGUAAUACAACCUGACUGGUGUCCUUAUAAAAGGAGAGGAAGAGACAUUAGUGGUGCCCACACACACAGAGGGACAACCAUGGGAAGAGGCAGCAAGAAAGCUGCCAUCAAGCCAAGGAGAGGGACCCCAGGAUCAACCAACCCUGACGGUGCCUUGAUCUUGGACUUCCAGCCUCCAGAACUGUACACAGACAAAUUUCUGCUGUUUAAGCCUCUGGUCUACAAUGUUUUGUUGUGG
ensembl:lncRNA